ACUAAUUUCAAGUGAUAGGCUUUCGAAUAUUCCCAUUAGUUGGAACUCUUUUCGAGCUCUUACACUUAACUUUCAUUAACAAAGCCGACUUCUAAUGUGGAUACACCUUUUGUAGGAUCUGUUACUACUAAUUUCAGGUGUUAACCUUUCGAAAAUUCCCAUUACUUGGAACUGUUAUCGAGCUCUUAUGCUUAACUUCCAUUAACAAAACCGACUUCUAAUGUGGAUACCCCCUUUUGUAGGAUCUUUUACUACUAAUUUCAAGUGGAUGGCUUGUGUAAAUUCCCAUUACUUGGAACUCUUAUCAAUUUCUCAUACUUAACUUCCAGUUACUAAACCGACUUCUAAUGUGGAUACACCUUUUGUUGGAUGUGUUACUACUAAUUUCAAGUGGAAGGCUUUUGCUCUUGAUUAUCUAUUUGGCUCUACCAAAUUGAUUUUCCCUCUUCCUUGCUUAGCAUUGCUUCUACUUUUUUCCCUUGCAUCCCUUCAAUAUUAUCUACUCUGAAGUUUUCUUGGAAGGUUAGACUCACAAUAUGCCUUUCCGGUCUUGGUCUUAUUGUUAAAUUAGUGGCUCCGAAUUUUCAUGCCCAUGAUACAAGACUAGGUAUUGCUUUCAUUUUUCCCCUAAUUACACUUAUGUACUCUGUCAGUACUAUUUUCCCACUUAAAAUAGUAGAAACAGAUUAACAAACGCAUAGAGAUUUAGAGCUAUUUUUGAUUUCCGCAAAUAACAUGCAAAUUUUGUUUAUAUACGAUAAUUUUAGCUUUCAAAUAUUAAUUUUCACACCACAUACUUCUUGCUUAAUUUUCUUCAGCAGCCUGACAUCUUCCCACCCCCUUGUACGACUUCCUUAGGUGGAUACUGCACAGUUACCAUCUUCAACCGCACAUUAUUCCUGCGAUGGAUACCCCAACAACAGAUCCCGCACAACAGCUUCCACCAAAGAAGUGUCCAGCCCCAGAGAUCUGACGUGCCCGAUCUCACAAUUGCGGAUUCAAUAUCUGAGGAAAAAGCAGGAACACUUAAGAGCCCAACUUUAUGGAGGAGUUCUCUGUCAUCCCGCAAAAACCGAAUGACUCCGCAUAUAUUUGUUACCGUACUAACUAAAACUUAUAUUAUCACAUGUAUUAUGUCCUCCGAUGGCCGACCAUAAUUCAACUGUAGUAGCUUAUUAGACAACAAUAUGUACAAAGCUCCCGUAGCGAAGAUAUCUAAUUAAUCAUUCCUGCAGCCUUUUACUUAUUUUGUUGGAUUUCCAAUCUAUUUAUGUAUGAAUAAACAUGAUCUAAUAAAGGGAAUUCUGUUGACUUUA